UACGUAGGUGGCGAGCGUUGUCCGGAAUUACUGGGUGUAAAGGGCGUGUAGGCGGGUAUGCCAGUUGGAUGUGAAAUUCCGGGGCUUAACCUCGGCGCUGCCUCCGAAACUGCAUUUCUUGAGUGCUGGAGAGGAAAGCGGAAUUCCUAGUGUAGCGGUGAAAUGCGUAGAUAUUAGGAGGAACACCAGUGGCGAAGGCGGCUUUCUGGACAGUAACUGACGCUGAGGCGCUAAAGCGUGGGGAGCAAACAGG
rnacentral:rRNA from 1 species